AAAGAAACUAACAAGGAUUCCCCUAGUAACGGCGAGUGAAGCGGGAAGAGCUCAAAUUUAAAAUCUGGCUUGCUUGCAAGUCCGAGUUGUAGUCUGAAGAAGCGUUUUCCAUGAAAGCUGAGGCACAAGUCCUUUGGAACAGGGCAUCAUAGAGGGUGAGAAUCCCGUCCAUGGUCUCAUGCAUUUCAUUUUGUGAUACGUUUUCUAAGAGUCAGGUUGUUUGGGAAUGCAGCCUAAAAUGGGUGGUAAAUUUCAUCUAAAGCUAAAUAUUGGCGAGAGACCGAUAGCGAACAAGUACCGUGAGGGAAAGAUGAAAAGAACUUUGAAAAGAGAGUUAAAAAGUACGUGAAAUUGUUGAAAGGGAACCGUUUGAAGCCAGUCUUGCUUACUUGUGAUCAAUCUUAGCUUCGGCUUGGAUGCACUCUCAAGUUAUGCAGGUCAACGUCAGUUUGAGAGGUGGGAAAAAAGUUUGAGGAAUGUGGCCUUCGGGUGUUAUAGCCUCUUACUAAAUACCAUCUCCUGGACUGAGGCUCGCAGCAAAAAUGUGGGCUGGUUUGCUCCUGAGGUGAAUCAUUAUUAAGACAGCUUGCUGACUUAGUUUUGUGGAUCUUCACGGUAGGCUAGCUUCUAAUUUGCUUAGGUCCGUU
rnacentral:rRNA from 1 species